UACGAAGGGUGCAAACGUUGCUCGGAAUUAUUGGGCGUAAAGCGCACGUAGGCGGCAUAGCAAGUCGGAUGUGAAAUCCCUCGGCUCAACCGAGGAACUGCGUCUGAUACUGGAAGGCUUGAAUCCGGGAGAGGGAUGUGGAAUUCCAGGUGUAGCGGUGAAAUGCGUAGAUAUCUGGAGGAACACCGGUGGCGAAGGCGGCAUCCUGGACCGGUAUUGACGCUGAGGCGGCGAAAGCUAGGGGAGCAAACGGG
rnacentral:rRNA from 1 species